GUAGGGAAUAUUGCGCAAUGGACGAAAGUCUGACGCAGCGACGCCGCGUGAGUGAUGAAGGCCUUAGGGUCGUAAAGCUCUGUUGAAUGGGAAGAAAAAAAUGACGGUACCAUUCGAGGAAGGACCGGCUAACUUCGUGCCAGCAGCCGCGGUAAUACGAGGGGUCCUAGCGUUGUUCGGAAUCAUUGGGCGUAAAGGGUGUGUAGGUGGCCAUGUAAGUCAGGUGUGAAAGCCCCGGGCUCAACCCGGGAAGUGCACUUGAUACUGCGUGGCUUGAGUACCGAAGAGGGUAGUGGAAUUCCAGGUGUAGUGGUGAAAUACGUAGAUAUCUGGAGGAACACCGGUGGCGAAGGCGGCCAUCUGGCCUAAUACUGACACUGAGGUGCGAAAGCAUGGGGAGCAAACAGGAUUAGAAACCCGGGUAGUCC
rnacentral:rRNA from 1 species